rnacentral:rRNA from 1 species
UACGAAGGGGGCUAGCGUUGCUCGGAAUCACUGGGCGUAAAGCGCACGUAGGCGGAUUGCUAAGUCAGGGGUGAAAUCCUGGAGCUCAACUCCAGAACUGCCUUUGAUACUGGCGAUCUUGAGUCCGGGAGAGGUGAGUGGAACUGCGAGUGUAGAGGUGAAAUUCGUAGAUAUUCGGAAGAACACCAGUGGCGAAGGCGACUUACUGGACACAUAUUGACGCUGAGGUGCGAAAGCGUGGGGAGCAAACAGG